UUACCUGAAUUUUCCUGAACUUCCUCAUCAUCUACAUCUGAAUUAUUCUUUGCAGACAUUAAAUAAUUCUUGAGUUUUUGAAAGCACUGUU